GUCCAAAGCGGUCGUUAAUAGCGGAUUCAGUUAGCUCAGAGUAAUACAACACCAAGUUAACUAAGUGUUUCAAAAGUGUUUAACACAACAACAAGUGGCAAGAAAUUCAAAAAUAGAAGAAAGGAGAAAAGAAAGCUAAAGAAAUAUCAGUUAAUGUUUUGAAAUUUCGAAUUGCAUAGAUUUCUAAAACAAAAGUUUUUUGGGUAAAGCAAAAAAAAAAGAAGAACCAAAGUGAUUAUUGUUGAGCAAAGCUUCUUGAAAGAAAGUACCAAAAAAGAUAUUCUUUAUAAAGCGAAAAUUUGUGUGAGCAAAUUGUAUAUGCGUGACACACAUGCCAAUUUAGUCUCCAUGCACCCGUAUAAAAGUUGUUGCGCUGAGCGUUAAUCAGAUCUCGUUGUAAAUUUAUUUGAAAAGUUAAUGGAAGACAUUCUACAAAAUUUGUAUCCUCAUUAGAGAAAAGACGCCGCCGCUCUGUCUGCCGGUAAUUGUGUACUACUUGCUUGUGCCCGUGUCUCUGUUUGUGUGUCCUGUGUGUGCCCUCUGAAGUGUGUGCGUGUGUUUGAAUGUUUUAAACAAAUAAUUUGAUUUAAGGAUUACAUUGGGAGCGAAACCCCAUCCACAGCUCUAUCCUGCCCACGGCAGAUAAUAACGGGAAGACGACAAAUCAAAUUCAAUGAAAUAAGCAGAGUGACGACUACGUCUGUGUACAAUUACAUAUUUGGAAUAUAUUUUUGGUGGAGCUUGUUUUCAAAAUAGAGAACAUUUCUGUGUGAGGGAUUACAAGAAAGAGCCAGAGUAACCAACAAACAACCACAUCAACCGAUUGUAUGUUAACUCCUCCUCAAAAACUUUCUAAAAAGUUAGCCAAAUUACAUCGAAACAUAAACUUUCUCGUCUAACCAGACAGCGAGAGAGAGAGAGAGAGCGCUGCGGACUGAAGUGAAGUGAAAAUCUCAAAGCAAAAAAUAGAAUAUCAAAGACGUAAAACUUGUUUUGAAAGUGAAACAAAGUAAAUACUACACCAACAAAAACGCAAACCAAAUUUUAUUUAAACAAAAAAUAUACGGAAAAAUUAAGCAGGUCCAUCAUCUCCACCGACCGACAGCAUUUUGUGAAAUUCAUCAAAAUUAUUGUGAUGAACUGAAAACGUGCAGAGUUAAAUUUCCCAGCCAAGCGAAGUGUAACGGAGCAUAUACUUGUGACUCAUUAAAGGAAAGUAUAGAGCGGCAGCUGCUGCUCCAGCCAAUGUUGGAUACAUAAAUUCACAGCUACGCAAAAAGAACUGCCACAAGGACAAAGACCCACCCCACCCCCAACACAGCAAUCAAUCCUCUAGAGGAAACAUAAAAACACAAAUACCAAUCAUACACCUGUGUUAGUGAGCUGUAAGGUGUGAGUGAUAUACAUACACAAAACCUUACCACCGGCACCCACCUAACCAACAGCGUCUGCUCACCAACCGGAUGUUGUUAUAAAUAAAUUUAAAUAUUACGUUCUUCUUCUGUUCGGCAUGUUGGUUUAUUGUUGUCAAUAAAUAAAAGUUUGUAGAAAACACACAAAAAACAAAAUUUACAAAAAAACAUAUAAUAAAGAAACAAAACGCAUAAAAACCUUCAAAUAUACGCACACAAAUUUUCCUUUCGUGUUAAGCACAAAACCAAAAUUUCAAGUGAAAGUCGUUUAUGCUGAGAAUUUUUUUUCAUAUAUUUUGAAGAUAUCGCAAAAACAACAGCAAACAACGCACAACAAGUAACAUAAUCGCUAACAACAAUAGACCAAAAAGUUUGACAACAAACAAUACCAGAAGAAAUUACGCAUAGCCAUAAUAACAACACUGCAUAUCCAUUCGGCGACUGAGAUUUAAAUAUGGCUUGUUACUAAUUCAUCAGUAUUGAAAUUUUAACUCACAAAUAUAUAUCACUGCUGUCAGGAGAAGUGAAAAGAAGGCGCCACAGGCAGGCAGCGUUUCGACAACGGGAUACUGGCUCUCUAACA
rnacentral:sRNA from 1 species